UACAGAGGUCUCAAGCGUUGUUCGGAUUCAUUGGGCGUAAAGGGUGCGUAGGCGGCGCGGUAAGUCGGGUGUGAAAUCUCGGAGCUUAACUCCGAAACUGCAUUCGAUACUGCCGUGCUUGAGGACUGGAGAGGAGACUGGAAUUCAUGGUGUAGCAGUGAAAUGCGUAGAGAUCAUGAGGAACACCAAUGGCGAAGGCAGCUCGCUGGGACGGUACUGACGCUGAGGCGCGAAAGCGUGGGGAGCAAACAGG
rnacentral:rRNA from 1 species